UCCCUGCUCAUGCCCUGUGUUUUGUACCUUCAUCCUCCAUCCAUGGAGCCCUCAGGUUCUUGCAGGGGAGGGGCAGUAAACCAGAUGGUUGUCACUUCAAUGUUUAGCCCAGCAUCUGGCUCCUAAGCGGUGCCAUGUGGCCAGUCAGUGAUAAAUGAUGGGAGACAGUAUAUGGUAUGUCCAAAAGGAGUGACAGAAAGUGUGGAGGGAAUUUGGACUCACAUUGAUAGUCACUGCAAUGGGGCCUAAACAUGCUAAGCACCUUCCACACGAGAGGUAUAGAGAGCCAGCAAAAGCUCGACUCUUCCAUCUAACAAGCACCACAAACCUAGAGUCAUGCUCUACUUUUUUGGAGAAAACAUGUUGGCUUCCCACUGAGCCUGCCAUCAUGAGGCACAAUAGUGGGCAUCUUGGUGGUUUGCUAAUAAUAACAGCUGAUAUUUAUAGAAGGCUCACUGUGGAUCCAGAACUUUACUGAAAAUUCUACAAGAACUGUAUCUCUCAGUCCUCACAUCAACACUAUGAGGAAGGAACUACUGUUACCCCUGCUUUACAGGUGGGGAAAUGAGGCCCAGAUACCAAGUAGCUGUACUAAAAGCACAGAGAUUUAACCUCCUGGACCUUAUUCACCAGAACGCAAGCCAAACCUCCAUAUACAUUUUACUUACUUCCCAAAAUUUUAUGUGUACAUCAAGAGCUGAUCAUAAAUAGAAGGUCAAAGUGACCUAUUGUGACAUCAAAUCUUGGAGCCACUUUAAUGUGACUUCACUAAAUUGCCUUCGUCCAGUGCCUCACAGACAGCAUCCCAGCACAUCAUGGAGAGCUAAGUGACAGAACAGGCAGCUCCUCUUCUCCCUGGUUCUAAGAAUUAAGUAGCAUGAAAUCCAAAUCUAAAAUCAUUGUCUCCAUGCUUCAUUGAAGAAAAUGAACGUGAAAAAAUCCAAUAGCAGCUGCAAACCAUUUAAGAAUUCCUAGUUAAACUGCAAAAUACAUUUUCAACCAUUUAGCCAUAACAACUUCUAAACGGAGAAAGUUGCUUCUUUAUAUAAACCACCUCUGUUUACCAAACAUCAGAGAAUCUCCGGGCAGAGGGCUACUGCAGGAUGGGAAUAGUAAGAGAAUGUUACAACCCAUGAGGUGCUGAUCUGCACACACCACCGUGAGGAAAUACCUUAAGUGAUUAAAGACAAACGCCACCUGCAUGCUUGGCAAAGGAGUCCACUGCUAUCGCCACACACUCUCCCCAGUGAGAGAGGGGAAACGAUGGACUGAAGUCCCACAGUGGAUUAGAACUGGGCACAAAAGGAGCCAGGAACAGAAGAUGGCAGCAUAGGAAGGGAAUGUUAUGCUUUGCCCCAGCUGGGGACUCUGGCAGUAUUAUCACUUAGGCAUCCUGAAGCCCA
rnacentral:lncRNA from 10 species